UCACUUCAUUCGUUCUUUCGUGAAACGCUGCCAACUCCUUAACGGGAAAUAGUUUCGUGAUCUGCGGCUUACAUUGCACUUUCGCCAGGAAAAUCUAAUAAGAUUCGAAACAAAAUAACGAAAAAAAAAACCCAGAGUACCUUAGUCAUUCACAAAGGGUGCCGCCUGGACAAUGAUCAUUCGCUAUACGCUAUACAAAGGUAAAAAAGUUAAGCCUGCAAUUCGAGGAAUAUUUUUUAAGUACGCAGAACGAUGUUGCUUCGUCUUUGACAAUAUAAUCGGCAGUUGCAGUAAUCAGGACAAUUAUUAUUCUACUGGUGUGUCAGUCGCAUGUGAUCAAAUGGCGGAUCGCAUCAAAUCGCGUGCUACGUUCAGGUUUAAUUAACUGACGUGCACGGGCUGUUAGCCAGUUUAAAUACAAUGAAUUGUUAUGUUCAUCCAUACAUGUUAUAAUAUGAAAGCAGUCUUAAAAUUUUUGGAGUAUAGUGUCCGAGUCGCAUUUUUUCUCAAGGAAUAAAACGUAGCGGUACAAGACGUCUCAGGUCCGUGGAAAGGACACUACCAGAAUCUUCCAACUCCUUAAGUACAAGCAAAGUUUUUAACUGAGGACCGACCCCACCACCUGCAGAAGAUACCAGAGUCUCAAGAACGUCGUUUGAGUAUCCUGAAAAUUUAGCAAAACCCUGCUUUCUGGCGUCUUUACUCAACGCGUCGUACAGCGUCGCCAGUUGCUGAAGUGACGCCCUGGGUGGAAUUUUGGCCCGUCUCAAGUAACCAGCUAAGCUGGGUCUUGGUACUUGCACGACUUUUUCACCCAGCAAGAGAUCAGAGAAGCAGAGGGAUUUACUAUACCGUAGAUCUCUUCCACGACGCUUUGGAUACUGGGUUUCUUCUUCUUGUCAUUCUCCACUGUGGUGGCGCUACUUUCGUUUCCGGUCUGCCGAUCAACCUCCGGCUGUUCAUAAUUUGACUCAGUGGUUCCAUGAGGGACUUCAGCCACUUCUUGGUUCACUUCAGGAGUAGCGUAAUUCAUUUCGACAUUCUCUUCAUUUACUUCCGGUAUCUCCACGUGACUGAUACUCGUCUCAACCAUUGAAGACAAAGGCAUUGAAUUCGUUGUCAUAGUCAUCG